rnacentral:rRNA from 1 species
AGUGAACGCUGGCGGUAGGCCUAACACAUGCAAGUCGAACGGCAGCACAGUAAGAGCUUGCUCUUACGGGUGGCGAGUGGCGGACGGGUGAGGAAUACAUCGGAAUCUACUUUUUCGUGGGGGAUAACGUAGGGAAACUUACGCUAAUACCGCAUACGACCUUCGGGUGAAAGCAGGGGAUCUUCGGACCUUGCGCGAUUGAAUGAGCCGAUGUCGGAUUAGCUAGUUGGCGGGGUAAAGGCCCACCAAGUCGACGAUCCGUAGCUGGUCUGAGAGGAUGAUCAGCCACACUGGAACUGAGACACGGUCCAGACUCCUACGGGAGGCAGCAGUGGGGAAUAUUGGACAAUGGGCGCAAGCCUGAUCCAGCCAUACCGUGUGGGUGAAGAAGGCCUUCGGGUUGUAAAGCCCUUUUGUUGGGAAAGAAAAGCAGCAGGUUAAUACCCCGCUGUUCUGACGGUACCCAAAGAAUAAGCACCGGCUAACUUCGUG